UUUCUUCUUCUUCAGUGCGUGAUUUGCACCUCUUCUCUUUGUCAUCCAGAACUUAUAGCUGAAUAAUAGAAUGGCUCUCAGCCGCAUGAAUGCUUCGGUGUCCCCGAAAGAAUGGCGAAUGGCUCCAACAGAUGGAAAGAGCGAGAGGGGGAUGGAAAAAGAGUGCGAGAGAGCAUGAAAGCAAGUGUGGAGCGCCAUACACAGUGACACCUUCAUAAAAAUUUUAACGUUCUGUCCAAUUGAGGACAUCUUUUUCUUUGACUUUUUCAAGAAAACAGAGCAAAAUGCGGACAUAGGAGCCAAUUUGCUGUAAUUCAUGGUCAGUGGCAUCUCGGGUCUCAUGAUCUUCAAUGGGAAACUCUAUCUGGAGUGCAGGUUCUGUCUGAGAUGCUGUUCCUCACGAGUCUCUGCGGUCAUCAUUGUGCCAUCAG